rnacentral:lncRNA from 1 species
CAGCCACAGCCACAGCCACAGAAAGGGGGAAUCCAAGUUGUGUAUGUGACCUACACUGUAGCAGCUUGCAGCAUCACCAGAUCCUUAACCCACUGAGCGAGGCCGGGGUUGAACCCACAUCCUCACGGACACUAUGUUGGGUCUUAACUCACUGGGCCACAAUGGGAACUCCUGAUAUAUUUCUUAUAUAGGAGCUGAGGCUAUUAAGUAAUAACAUAAAUUCCAGAAGAGCUUUGUGCAUUUAGUCUCAUUACUUUAUAGCCUCAUUUUCUGUGAGUGUUUCUUAGUGCUCAGAGAAUGUGUUUGUGAGUCUGUGAUUGUAUCAUUUUCCCUGAUAAUAGCUAAGAACUUUUUAGCUGUAUUCCUAUUGUGCCUUAGAUUGAGUGGGUUGCUUGGUUGUAUGAUAAGUGAGUGAACGAAUAAAAUGCACUAAAAUCCACGUACGUAUCUAACUGGUCUCCUUGUUUCUGUCCUCUUCCUCUCCACUUUUAUUCUAAGCAGCAAUACAACUUAAUUUUUCCCUUACCAAAAAGAUUCAAAUUCUCCCAUUUUCCUCAUAGCCAAGGCCUAUUAUGUUAGAGGGACAGGAAAGAGCUUCUGUGGUCUGGUACCACCCUCCCUCUUCAACCUAAUUUCCUACUUCUUCACCCCACAAGCUCUCCACCCCAAUCAAACUGGCCCAGGAGCUCUCUGUCAAGCCGGAUGGACCACCACAUUUCCGCCUUGACUCACUCUAGAAUGCACCUCACUUCACCUUACUUUGUUCAGCUUUUCCUAAAGCUUUAAUGGCAUAUAAUACAACAGCAAUCACAAGAAUAACAAUAAAAAUAAUAGCAGCAGCGGUGGCGGUCAUAGUGGUAAUAAUAGUAGAACUGACAUUUGUACAGCUGGUACAGUUUAGUAAAGAACACAGGUUUGAGGCCAGAUGCCUGAGUUUUAAUCACGUUUCUCAAAAUUCCAAGUUGUGUGAGUUCAGGCAAGUCAUUUAACCUCUCUGCAUUUUAGCAUUCAUAUCUUUAAAAUGGGAAUAAGGAUGCACCUACAUCACAGGUUUUUGUGAAGAGGAAAUGAGUGAACACAUGUAAGGAGUGCUUAGAACAUAAUAAAUGGUCAAUAAAAUUAGCUCUAAUUACAUAGCAUUUAUCAUGUAUCAGGCAGUAUACAGUUUUGUUUUUUUAAUGUCUUAAAUAAUUUUCUCAGUAACCCCUGAGGUAGAACCAAUUGUUUUCUCCCAAGUUUAGCUCCAUGUUACUUCUGAAAGUAACUGAGUCAAGUUAUUUAACCCAAAUUCACCCAGCAUGGGAAUGGUUGGGCUGUAAUCCAAAUCCAAACAGCCAAACUCCAGAGCCUGGCUCUUAACUGCUGUGAUUUUACUUCUUCCAAGAGCCACUGAAAAUCUUGCUUCAUCAGUUGAGAUUUUCUUCACUGCUGGAUGUUUCGAUAUUUUAAAACUUUCAGAGUUUAAAUGCCUGUUUGAUAGUAACAUUACUUGAGUGUUCAUUAGGUACUAAGUCUCUAAUAAAACUGCAUUAAUUCAUCAAUUUGAUGUUUGCAAUUUGAUAUUUCAAAUCUUCUCUUAUGUUGUCAUGAAAAUCAUUUGUAUGGUAUCUGAGAGGUGAGUCCUAACUCCUAUGUUCUCUUGUAUAUCCAGUGUACCUCGCAAAACAUUCUUUAAAUGUAAUAAGUGCUUGUCAGAAGCACUGUCAUGGUGUGUUGGGAAUGAUAAUGGUAAUGACACUGAUAAUAGCUAAGUAUCUUAUAAGCAUGUAUAAUAAUUUUAGUUUGAACAUAUAUUAUGUGAAGCAAGGCAAUUACUCUAGAGAGUUUUGCAAGGAUAAAAUGAAAACCUUUUUGUUAGAUGGCUCUGCUGCAAAACUAAGAGCUGGGAUCCUCAGUUUUAGACCCCUGCUUUGUCAACAUGAUGUGUGUUAUCUUGAGGGUGUCAUUCACUGCUAUGUGUCUCAUUUGAAUUAUCUGUAAAAAAUAUGUUAGCAAAAUAUUCAGCUGGUCUGCCUCAUAAAGGUAGUAAGGUCCAAAGAAGAUAACGUGUGUGAAGGAGUUCCCCAAAUGACACAAUGAACCCUUGACAAGGAGGAAGGUUGUAUUUCAAGUAAGAGCUGCUUAAUCCCAAAUUGUGAACAUUACUGUAGCAUAGAUUUUCCUCAUAAAAUGCAUUCAAUUACAACUAUAAAUUUUUAAGUUUCUUCUUUAAAACCUUAAUUAAAAUUACUGGGUGUGUAACAAUAAAAGGAAAACAGUACAGCUGCCUUGAGCCGUGAUUCAUGGGUCCACGAGGGUCACUCGCCAACAAUUGUUCACAACUUAAGGUGUGCUCUAAGGACCAGCAUCACUCACACCCCAGAGAAAAAUACAGAAUCUCAGGUGCCUCUCUGGAGAGUCAGCAUAUGAAUUUUCAUAAAAUAUCCUUUGGUGAUGCCUGUGUAGAUUAAAUGUAAGUCACUGUCAUAAGCGCCUCAAUUACCUUGCAUGUUUGCCUUCAAUAACAGCCGAUUUGAAUUCACACCAGAGCAAAAGCAUCUAUUACAGAAUUUCAGGGAUAUCCAAGACAAUACCCAACAUGUCAAAACCACAAAUCUUAAAUCCCAGGAUUCUCAAAGAUUUCAGUAGUGGGCUAUAUACGUAAAACAUGUAAUCACUACCAAUAACUGGAGCGAUUCAAGUAGUAUGUCUACCAAGUGAUACUGCUUGAUAAAAGGGGCUAGCCUUAGAUUCAAAGAUUAAUAAUUGCAUUCUUCUUGAAAUUACUCAUCUAGAGCACCUAAGGGCAUGUGAAGGAGAAGGAGCAAUUAGCUGGUGAAUGCAGAAUGCGUAGGUGGCUAAUUUUCUCUUUGGAAAAAAAAAAAGUUGUGUUUUUUUUUUCCCCCAAAUGAAGGUUAUGGCAUGUCUUGGUGAGUUUCUGACCUACUGCGUAUACAGGAGCUCAACUUGUACACAUUGAUGACUUUGCAGGCUAUUGCCCAUACCUGUCCAGUUUGAGUGAAUUAAUGAAGUAAAUUUUAAUUCACUAAAUAAUUCACAAACUUUUGAGACACAAUCAUUGUCAACAGCCCCUGAUCCCAAGAUAAUAUUGGAACACAAAGCUCAUUACCAUUUUACCAAAGCAGAAAUUAUAUUGCUUCAAUAUUGUCCACUAAGAAACAGAGUGGAGACCAAAAAUAUUUAAAAUAUUUUGCUUUGUUCACCAUUCUCCAAAUUUAAUUAUUUUUAAAAGCAAUGUUUAUAGUGGGUCCCUAUGGGUGUUUAAGGUUGGUCAAGUCUACAGGAGCCGUGAAAUGAAAUAUAGAGGCAAUUAUCUGGGUAAUUCGGGAUAAUUUGCUUCCACCUGAAUUGUAAUUGAGACAAUAAUGGGAAUGACACUUCCAUGAGGACAUGGAUUUUUGUCUGUGUUGUUCAUUAAUGUACUCCAAGUUUUCUUAGAGUAAGAAUUUUGUUCAGUUCUGCUACAACCUAAGCUCUGAAAAGCAGGUACACAGUAGGUGAUCAAUAAACAUUCCCUUAAAAAAUGAAUCCCAAAGUUCCUUGUAUACCUAAUUUUAUUAUGGAAAAAAAAUCUAAUAUUGGAGAUGUAUCAUAACACCUUACAAGAUUUUCACAAGCGAAAAACACAGUCAACUAAUUGAUUUUUGUACAUACUGGCCACUUACAAUUCUUUUUAUUUCAUUGGAUUUUCUGAUUAUUAGGUCAAAUCUAACCCAUCUAUCAAGAAUUUAAUAUCAUGAGAGACAACAUGAAAUAAUUAAAAGAACACAGAUAAUGAAAUUAGUCAGAAAUUGGUGUGAAUCCUAACUCUAACACCAGGUGCAAAACCUUGGACAAGUUAUUCAACCUCUAAGUUUCAAAUAGUUAAAAAAUAAGAACAGUAAUGUGUUCUUUACAAGAAAAUAGAACUUUAAUGUGAUAACCUCACUGAAAGUACUUGUCUGGCAUUCAAAGAUAUCAGUUAUUUAACUAAUGUUAAAGUUAUUUGUGUAAACACAAUUUGAAUGAAUUUUGCUACAGGUCAGUGAGCAUAUGUCCCUAACUUUAGAAUAUGAUGCAAACUAGAAAGGAUUAGAAGCGGAUAAAAAGGAGUCUCCACUCUGUCCUAGGACCCAGGUUCGAUCUCCAGCCUGGUACUGUGGGUUAAGGAUCUGGCAUUACUUAAGAUUCACCUUUCCACUUGAGUCAACUCAUCCAGCUUUACAAGGAACGUCUAAGGUCAUUAGACCUCAAAUGUCUUAGUCAUCCUGAAAGACUUACUUUGAUAUUUUCUCCUUGCCCACCUUGAAUGAUUUUCACUGUUUUUUUUUCUGCUGAACUUUGUUUGUGGCAUUUUGACACAGAUACAGAUUUGAGGGGAAAAUCAAUCUCAGGAGAAGGUCUUUAUGAUACUAAACUUUUCUACAAAAUUCUACAAAAUGAGCACAAUUUUCACUUAAAAUAAAGAUCAUAGUUAUGCCUGGAGCUUAACCUUUCUUGCUGCUCAAUAUUAUCAUAACCUGGGGGAAAGUGUAGCCUGUCUAUAACAAUCAGACUCCCAGCAAAGUGUGAUUUCAUU